CCGGUGGCAAACCGGAGGAAGGUGGGGAUGACGUCAAAUCAUCAUGCCCCUUAUGACCUGGGCUACACACGUGCUACAAUGGAUGGUACAACGAGUUGCGAGACCGCGAGGUCAAGCUAAUCUCUUAAAGCCAUUCUCAGUUCGGACUGUAGGCUGCAACUCGCCUACACGAAGUCGGAAUCGCUAGUAAUCGCGGAUCAGCACGCCGCGAAGAAUACGUUCCCGGGCCUUGUACACACCGCCCGUCUCUCCAUGAGAGUUUGUAACACCCGAAGCCGGUGGCGUAACCCUUUAGGGAGC
rnacentral:rRNA from 1 species